GAGGUCGUGCUCAUUGCCUCAAACUUUCAUUUAACUCUCAUAUAGAACAUUUGAUCUAGCAAGAAGCAAGGCUUCAAAUAUGAAGGGGAGCAGCUUGGUGUUCAUGGUUACUCUUUUGUCCAUCAGCUAUCUUGCAGCGAGCGGACCGCGUGACCUCGGGGAUGAAAGGAGCCGCGACGACGGCCGUGCCAGCGCAAGUGCUAAUGCUCCUGUAUUACACUCGUCAUUAGAUGAGAGCAAGAUUAGCAUGAGAUUUUGUGUGGUUAGAGAUUGUAAAACCAAAGCUGAGGGCUGGACUGAGUUAUGCUACUGCUGCCUUCCGCUGCCGGAUUUUCCAUGUUGGCAUAAGCUACACGAGUGUCAAGCAAACUGCCCCGCGUGCAAGCCCAAUUGCUAGCUAGGGAGUCUCAACCGAUCGGCCGGCAGUGGAUCUAGAAUUGCCCUAUUUGAAUAAAAUGAUUGUUAUAGUUAGCUGCUAUUUUACAAGAAUUAGUUGAAUGCCCAUGUUUUCUCACUGAA